AAUGCUCAGUUUAAUAGGAAUUUCAGAUAAAUAAUAUUUUGUAGGAUAAGUAUAUCCCAAAAUAUUUGGGAUAUACUUAUGCUAAAAAUUUAUCAUUGUUUAUCUAAAAUCCACAUUUAACUAGAUACCCUAUA
rnacentral:miRNA from 1 species